UACGGAGGGUGCAAGCGUUAUCCGGAUUCACUGGGUUUAAAGGGUGCGUAGGUGGGCUAGUAAGUCCGUGGUGAAAUCUCCAAGCUUAACUUGGAAACUGCCGUGGAUACUAUUAGUCUUGAAUAUUGUGGAGGUAAGCGGAAUAUGUCAUGUAGCGGUGAAAUGCUUAGAUAUGACAUAGAACACCAAUUGCGAAGGCAGCUCACUACUCAAUCAUUGACUCUGAGGCACGAAAGCGUGGGGAUCAAACAGG
rnacentral:rRNA from 1 species